CCUACGGGAGGCUGCAGUAGGGAAUCUUUCACAAUGGGCGAAAGCCUGAUGGAGCAACGCCGCGUGCAGGAUGAAGGCCUUCGGGUUGUAAACUGCUUUUAUAAGCGAGAAAUAUGAUGGUAACUUAUGAAUAAGGAUCGGCUAACUACGUGCCAGCAGCCGCGGUCAUACGUAGGAUCCGAGCAUUAUCCGGAGUGACUGGGUGUAAAGAGUUGCGUAGGUGGCAUAAUAAGUAGCUAGUGAAAUCUGGUGGCUCAACCAUUCAGCCUAUUAGCUAAACUGUUAAGCUCGAGACCGUUAGGGGUAACUGGAAUUUCUAGUGUAGGAGUGAAAUCCGUAGAUAUUAGAAGGAACACCAAUAGCGUAGGCAGGUUGCUGGGACGGUUCUGACACUAAGACACGAAAGCGUAGGGAGCAAACGGGAUUAGAUACCCCAGUAGUC
rnacentral:rRNA from 1 species